rnacentral:rRNA from 1 species
UACGGAGGAUCCGAGCGUUAUCCGGAUUUAUUGGGUUUAAAGGGAGCGUAGGCGGAUGUUUAAGUCAGUUGUGAAAGUUUAAGGCUCAACCUUGAAAUUGCAGUUGAUACUGGAUACCUUGAGUACAUUGAAUGUGGGCGGAAUUCGUGGUGUAGCGGUGAAAUGCUUAGAUAUCACGAAGAACUCCAAUUGCGAAGGCAGCUCACAGUAAUGUAACUGACGCUGAUGCUCGAAAGUGUGGGUAUCAAACAGGAUUAGAUACCCUGGUAGUCCACACAGUAAACGAUGAAUACUCGCUGUUUGCGAUAUACAGUAAGCGGCCAAGCGAAAGCGUUAAGUAUUCCACCUGGGGAGUACGCCGGCAACGGUGAA